UAACGACUCUCGGCAACGGAUAUCUCGGCUCUCGCAUCGAUGAAGAACGUAGCGAAAUGCGAUACUUGGUGUGAAUUGCAGAAUCCCGUGAACCAUCGAGUCUUUGAACGCAAGUUGCGCCCCAAGCCGUUAAGGCUGAGGGCACGUCUGCCUGGGUGUCACA
rnacentral:rRNA from 1 species